rnacentral:rRNA from 1 species
AGAGAGAAGCGAGCCUGCGAGGGGGAGCGAAUCCCAAAAAUAAACGUCCCAGUUCGGAUUGUAGUCUGCAACCCGACUACAUGAAGCUGGAAUCGCUAGUAAUCGCGGAUCAGAAUGCCGCGGUGAAUACGUUCCCGGGUCUUGUACACACCGCCCGUCACACCAUGGGAGUCGGAAAUGCCCGAAGUCAGUAGUCCAACCUCGUGAGGACGCUGCCGAAGGUAGGAUUGGCGACUGGGGUGAAGUCGUAACAAGGUAUC